GAUAAGGUGGCCGAAGUUUAGGUUAUAAAUUGUAAAUUUAUAUAUGGUAAAUAUUACCCUUUAUCA
rnacentral:tRNA from 1 species